GCGGGGUGAGCUUGACACGUGGACUAGGAUAGCAUGAGGAUUGGGUCUUAUGACAUAGAAUCCUAUAGCGGCAUAAAGAGCCGAACUUGGACAUAGCCUAGUAGAGUGGCAUUGAAUUAGUGUGGUAGAAGCACUAUGACAUGAACUAGUGGCAUGUAGAAUAAUUGAGACAUUUACUACAAUGACUGAACGAGUGGCAU
rnacentral:lncRNA from 1 species